rnacentral:rRNA from 1 species
GACGAACCGAGCGAACGUUGUUCGGAAUCACUGGGCUUAAAGGGCGCGUAGGCGGGUGCUCAAGUCCGUGGUGAAAUCCUCCGGCUCAACCGGAGAACUGCCUCGGAUACUGGGUGCCUCGAGGGUGGUAGGGGUAUGCGGAACUAUCGGUGGAGCGGUGAAAUGCGUUGAUAUCGAUAGGAACUCCGGUGGCGAAGGCGGCAUACUGGACCACCUCUGACGCUGAGGCGCGAAAGCGUGGGGAGCGAACAGG